rnacentral:rRNA from 1 species
CCUACGGGGGGCAGCAGUGAGGAAUAUUGGUCAAUGGACGAGAGUCUGAACCAGCCAAGUAGCGUGAAGGAUGACUGCCCUAUGGGUUGUAAACUUCUUUUAUAAAGGAAUAAAACGAGGCACGUGUGCCUUUUUGCAUGUACUUUAUGAAUAAGGAUCGGCUAACUCCGUGCCAGCAGCCGCGGUAAUACGGAGGAUCCGAGCGUUAUCCGGAUUUAUUGGGUUUAAAGGGAGCGUAGAUGGGUUGUUAAGUCAGUUGUGAAAGUUUGCGGCUCAACCGUAAAAUUGCAAUUGAUACUGGCAGUCGUGAGUACAGUUGAGGUAGGCGGAAUUCGUGGUGUAGCGGUGAAAUGCUUAGAUAUCACGAAGAACCCCGAUUGCGAAGGCAGCUUACUAAACUGUGACUGACAUUGAUGCUCGAAAGUGUGGGUAUCAAACAGGAUUAGAGACCCGAGUAGUC